AGCUUUGCACAGUGGCAGUAUCGUAGCCAAUGAGGUUUAUCCGAGGCGCGAUUAUUGCUAAUUAAAUAUACUCUUCAAGAAGAGGCUGCAACUGUCUCACAGCUCUCAAGAUCACAGACUUUCAUCUUUAUAUAUCUGGCACCAGG